UACAGAGGGUGCAAGCGUUAAUCGGAAUUACUGGGCGUAAAGCGCACGUAGGCGGUCCGUUAAGUCGGAUGUGAAAGCCCCCGGCUCAACCGGGGAAGUGCAUCCGAAACUGGCAGGCUAGAGUACGAAAGAGGGUCGCGGAAUUCCCGGUGUAGAGGUGAAAUGCGUAGAUAUCUGGAGGAAUACCGGUGGCGAAGGCGGCAUCCUGGACCGACAUUGACGCUGAGGAGCGAAAGCUAGGGGAGCAAACGGG
rnacentral:rRNA from 1 species